rnacentral:rRNA from 1 species
AGAAUCAACGCUGGCGGCGUGCCUAAUACAUGCAAGUCGAACGAGAAAGUGGAGCAAUCCAUGAGUAAAGUGGCGCACGGGUGAGUAACACGUGACUAACCUACCUUUUAGUGGGGGAUAACCUAGGGAAACCUGGGCUAAUACCGCAUAACACUUACGAGUCAAAGCAGCAAUGCGCUGAAAGAGGGGGUCGCGGCCGAUUAGCUAGUUGGCGGGGUAAUGGCCCACCAAGGCAGUGAUCGGUAUCCGGCCUGAGAGGGCGCACGGACACACUGGAACUGAAACACGGUCCAGACUCCUACGGGAGGCAGCAGUGGGGAAUUUUGCGCAAUGGGGGAAACCCUGACGCAGCAACGCCGCGUGGAGGAUGAAGUCCCUUGGGACGUAAACUCCUUUCGAUCGGGACGAUAAUGACGGUACCGAAGAAGAGCCCCGGCUAACUCGUGCCAGCAGCCGC